rnacentral:misc_RNA from 1 species
GUGAAUCAUCAAAUUUUUGAACGCAAAUUGCACUCUCCGGUAAUAGUAUGCCUGUUUGAGGGUCAGCCUAUAAAAAUCGACAUCGUUGCUUUUUCGCGGUGGCUUUCGUCGGUAAUUGGGUCAUCUUAAAUCCUUUUGAUUUAAGCGACUUAAAAUUUUCCUUUGGUUCCAUGAACGUUGCUAAGAUCUAUUUCUUUACACGUUUAAGGUAUCUAUUUUUACUAGACGUGACCAUCAUAUCGGAUGGCUGCCAUAAUCUUUCAUUAACUUACCUCAGACAGGUAAGG